rnacentral:lncRNA from 1 species
AAUGGAUAUAGGAAAGAAUGUUUCACAUACAGGUGAUCCAGCAGAACUUCUCUUGGCUGGCUGUAACUGUAAAUGGUCCAUACAACAGCUAUAGCCUGCUAAGAGUAGGAAUUAGUAUAUGGUAGGUAUGGAGAAGUGGCACUCAGUUCUCUUUAAGGAAGGUUUCAGGAAGUGUCAUUAGCAGAUAGCCUCUAGCUGUCAACUUCUUCAGUGUUGGCUUCAGCUGCACAGAUUCACUUCUCCCAUGUUUCCACUCUUCCAGAAGAAGCUUCAUCUGAUGGCACAGGUAUAGAAGCCUGGCCAUUUUGUACUGGCAAAGGGUAACUCCAAAAGGCAACCUUUGCCCCAGAACUUACUGCUGGGUCGGUCAAGACUUUAUCAUGCCUAUAUUGUGCUCUCUCUUUGCCUGAUCUUGCUUCCUCUUUCUUCUUUCACAAGGGUCAUCCUUAAUAUAAAUCCUGGACCUCAGACUUCUUACUUUCUCUUCUGAGGAAUGCAACCUGUGACAGAGAAUCACUGAUCCUUUAUUGAUGAGAGUCUGGGUCACUCCAGCAGGACCAGAGUACAAGAUUAAGGAAAUUGAUGUUCCUCCAUGUUAUGUUAACCGUGGACCAAACAAAAUACCUUUCUUCUUCUGCCUCCUUGGGCACUGAGAUGUCACAGAUGCUGUAAAGGUUCAGGAGCUUGGAUAGGGCAUUGAUCUUUAAAACACUCUCAUCAUCACGGAGCAAACCAAACAAAUUAUCUCUCUUGUUUGUGAAGCCAAAUGGGGUAUUAACUGCUACAGGAUCAGAAAAUCAUUUCCAACAAAGACUAUUCAAAAGGUAAUACUUUCUUUCAGAUUUUCCUAACUUUGCAAAGGUGAUGAAAAAGCAUAUCAGAAUAGUGUAGGACAAUGGUCAGUCACUUCUAUUUGGUAUAUCUGGAUAUGUAUUAAAUAGAUAUACAUCAACUAUAUCUACUUACUUCCUAUGUAAUGAUGAUCUCAUGGCUAAGUUUCAUUGUUAUCGACUCCAUCCCUGGGGAACCAAUGUAUACAGUGGUUUUUGAAGUUAAAUUCUUAUGCUAGCAGUUUCUGACAUCACAUACAAUUCUCUUAGUGCC